UACGUAGGGCGCAAGCGUUGUCCGGAAUUAUUGGGCGUAAAGAGCUCGUAGGCGGCUUGUCACGUCGGGUGUGAAAGCCCCGGGGCUUAACCCCGGGUCUGCAUUCGAUACGGGCUAGCUAGAGUGUGGUAGGGGAGAUCGGAAUUCCUGGUGUAGCGGUGAAAUGCGCAGAUAUCAGGAGGAACACCGGUGGCGAAGGCGGAUCUCUGGGCCAUUACUGACGCUGAGGAGCGAAAGCGUGGGGAGCAAACAGG
rnacentral:rRNA from 1 species